AUUUUGUAGAUACAUUACAUAGAUAACAACUAAUUCUUGGAUUCAUAAAUUAAUCUUUGGGUACCAGAUUGAAGUAAAUUGAGAAACUCCAUAUAAACCUAAUACUUGCCAUUGUAGCAAAUGACCAAAUAUUAAAUAACAAUGAGUUGUACAGUAUGUGAUUAUUUGGAGUUUGCUUCCUAAAUUAUUUUGUUACUCUAAAGGUGAAUGAAUGUACAGUGUAAUGUUACAGCAUUGGUUUGCUAGUGAUUGAAAAAAACUGUAUUAUACUUCUUUUAUCUGUACAUAGAUUCUCUUUUCCAAUUUAUAUUUAUAUAGUGCAUAUGAGUGCAACAAAAUAUUAUACUUCUUUUAUCUGUACAUAGAUUCUCUUUUCCAAUUCAUAUUUAUAUAGUGCAUAUGAGUGCAACAAAAUUGUAUUAACAAUAGUACAGUAUGAAAAAGUGUUCAACAAAAAAGAACCCCCAGGCACCUAAACAAAAUUAUCCUAUUAUUUUUUCAAUCUGUACAUAGAUUCUCUUUUCCAAUUCAUAUUUAUAUAGUGCAUAUGAGUGCAACAAAAUUAUAUUAACAGUAGUAGAGUAUGAAAAAUUGUUCAACAAAAAAGAACUCCCAAACACCUAAACAAAAUUAUCCUACUUCAUAAAGUAAGCAUGGAUGUCUGUUUACUCUGAGGAGCUCAUCCAAUCUUUAUAAUAAUAUCCACCUUCCCAUGUAGCAGCUGCUAAAAAUAACCAAAUUGAAUUCAAAACAGCCGUAGAUUAGUUGUUGAGGAAUGCUUUCUACUGUAGGUUGUUCCACUUUAUUCCAUAUUUUGGUUUACACACUAGCUGCCACAGGGGGUUCUGUUCUCUCGGCUACAGUAAUUCCAAUGCGAGUUAUCCCAUAGGAAAUUUUGUACAAAUUUCAAUAAGGAAUAUAAGGGAAAAAUAUAUAUUUACUUCCAUUCAUGCAGUAUUGCUGACCUCACAGAGAAGCUAGUAGGUCUAAUAUUCAUUUUUUUUUAAUGGUAUUGGUAAGCGCAUACUACAUGGUCUCUAUGCGCUAUAAGUUACACAAAAGAAACAAACCAAAAACUAAAUCCUAAAUUCUAACCCAGCGAC